UACGAAGGGGGCUAGCGUUGCUCGGAAUUACUGGGCGUAAAGGGCGCGUAGGCGGAUAGUUUAGUCAGAGGUAAAAGCCCAGGGCUCAACCUUGGAACUGCCUUUGAUACUGGCUAUCUUGAGUACGGGAGAGGUGUGUGGAACUCCGAGUGUAGAGGUGAAAUUCGUAGAUAUUCGGAAGAACACCAGUGGCGAAGGCGACACACUGGCCCGUUACUGACGCUGAGGCGCGAAAAGCGUGGGGAGCAAACAGGG
rnacentral:rRNA from 1 species